rnacentral:rRNA from 1 species
GAGUUUGAUCAUGGCUCAGAUUGAACGCUGGCGGAAUGCUUUACACAUGCAAGUCGAACGGCAGCACGGGGCAACCUGGUGGCGAGUGGCGAACGGGUGAGUAAUACAUCGGAACGUGCCCAAUCGUGGGGGAUAACGUAGCGAAAGUUACGCUAAUACCGCAUACGAUCUACGGAUGAAAGCGGGGGAUCGCAAGACCUCGCGCGAAUGGAGCGGCCGAUGUCAGAUUAGGUAGUUGGUGGGGUAAAGGCUCACCAAGCCAACGAUCUGUAGCUGGUCUGAGAGGACGACCAGCCACACUGGAACUGAGACACGGUCCAGACUCCUACGGGAGGCAGCAGUGGGGAAUUUUGGACAAUGGGCGCAAGCCUGAUCCAGCCAUUCCGCGUGCAGGAUGAAGGCCUUCGGGUUGUAAACUGCUUUUGUACGGAACGAAAAGGUCCUGGUUAAUACCUGGGGCUCAUGACAGUACCGUAAGAAUAAGCACCGGCUAACUACGUG